rnacentral:rRNA from 1 species
UACGUAGGCAGCAAGCGUCGUUCGGAGUUACUGGGCGUAAAGGGUGCGUAGGCGGCUUUUUAAGUCUGGUGUGAAAUCUCCCGGCUCAACUGGGAGGGUGCGCCGGAUACUGAGGGGCUAGAGUGUGGGAGAGGAAAGUGGAAUUCCUGGUGUAGCGGUGAAAUGCGUAGAUAUCAGGAGGAACACCGGUGGUGUAAACGGCUUUCUGGACCAUAACUGACGCUGAGGCACGAAAGCGUGGGUAGCAAACAGG